UUAUUUGUUGUUUAUCUGAAGUUUAAAUUCACUGUGCUUCCUGUCUUUUUGUUUGCUAAAUCUGACAACCCAAGCUUAAUUAUAAGACCUGUCCCACUGAGAAUCACCAUCAAAUAGUGACUACUGGGCAUCUGCUUGCUUGUGACACUUGCUUUUAAACUGAUCCUAUAACAUAGAACACUAUGCUGGAGAAGUGGGGGCGGUGAGGGAGAAAGAGAGACAACAGACAUGGAAACAGAAAAGUGUCCCAUCAUGAGACUGAUCUUAGUCACCUGUACAUCACAUAAAUGUAAUGUCACUAGGCCUUUUAGAAAAUAGAACUAGUCCUACUGUCCUAUUUGCCUCUCAUCACAAUCUACGUACGCCCCCCAUUUUGCUGUGCUAUUCUGCUCUAUUCUAUUCUGCUCUUUGAUAAAUAAGAAAUGAACACGUUUUGGCAAAAGCCAGGCCCUAUGUUCUCCAAGAAUUAUCUGGUCCUCAGAAGGCAUAUCACAAGCAAACAGCAAGACGGGCGGAGGGUGCAGCCAGGCUGCUGCAGACAGAAGGGCUGCCCAAAUGUAAUUAAGCAUGAGGCGCAGACCCUAGGAGUCACAAUGGGAAAAGUUCCAUGACCAAAAAAAUAUUAGGGAAGUGAAGUGGAGAAUGUUUACAAGCCUAAUUGCACAACUCUAGAAUUAAAAAUUUUGCCAAUAUCAGGCAACUUUGUGGACUGACAUUAUGGAAGCUAAACCUGGCCCAAGGAUAGAGGUGGCUCUAGGCUCUCACUAGUUGGCCCAGCCCUGUGGCUAAAGCACCUACCAAGACACUCAAAUUGAGAAAAUGACCAAAUUAGAGCACAAAUGAGUGAGCUGAUUCAUAUGCAAGAAAAUAACAGAGGCUAAGGAAUCCAAAUUCCAGAAAUGAAGCCUUUGAGUAGUAAUAAAAAUAAUAGUAAUGAUGAUAAUGAUAACAAUACCUACACCUUAUUGAGCACUUAUUAUGUGCCAGGCACUGUGCUAUGCACUUUACAUGAAUUGACUCAUUUAUCCUGACAACAACUCUGUGAAGAUUGUCACCCAUGUUUCAUGAGGCACAGAGAGACUGCAAAAUUUAACUGAUUCACCUAACUAUUGAAUGAUGAGGCAGAAAAUAAAACCUAGGCAGUUGGAGAGCAAAGCCUACAUGUUUAACCACUAGGCUCUACCAUUUCUCUAAUCUGUUUUUGAAGAGAUUUUUCCCAGAGUGGGAUGGAUUUGCUGAGCUCUUCCCACCACCUUUUCCUGGGUCUCACUGGUACAAGGGGCACUCGUUUGUCAAACAGGCAGAAAGUUUAAGGAUACUCUUCACAGAUGUAGGACAGAAGGAGCCUAGUGACCUGAGUACCACCAUGUUCUAAUUAAAUGAACUAACCACCACUGGGCUCUUGAGGGUAUCCUAGAACUAAGAUUUAGGGUGUGAAUUACAUGUACACGAGAGAGGUCAUACAUAUCUGCUAUUACUUUGGAACCUGGAAGAAAUGUUGAUCAUUAAAGUCUGCUGAUCUCUUAGUUAUCCUUUAAGGCACAUCUUAACACCUCUUCCGUGAAUCCUUCCUCAUACUCCCAGAUGGAAGUGUUUAUUCCUUUGGGUUCCAAAUAUGCUUUUUUUUCUCCAUCAUUAUGUCCAGCACAUAUCUGUCUCUCCCAUAAGAAUAUAAGCAUUUUGAGGCCAGGGAUUAUUUUAUUCAUAUUUAUAUAUGGCAUGUAUUUCCCCCAUACAUACACAUUGAGUAUUUGUUAAACAAAUAAAGCUAAUCUAAUCGAUUGUUUUACAUCUGAGAAGACAAAGGCCCAGAGAGGGGAAUCUUACUUACCUAAGAUGACACAGCAGUUCAAUGGCUGUCUUUUGACUCCCAAGCCAUUACUCCAUCUACUAUCCAAGGAUGCAUUUCUGGAGAUUCUAAAUGGCUUCAUUUUCUCUUUUCCAUAUUCUUGCUCUUAUAGUGCAUUUGUUUUUACUUCUGGAACCUGCUGGUUCCAAGCUUUUUCAAAGCUCAUUUGGAAAACGGUCAUUCUGAUUACUCUCCCUACAAUCUACUCUCCUACCUUGAGAUCACUUUUUCUACCCUCUCCAUAAAGUCCCUAUAUAGGUGAUGAUUUUCAGAAUAUUACAUUUAUUUAAUUGACAGAGAUGCAGCUGAGUUCUGUAUGACAGCUGAGCAACACAGGAUCCCUCCCCCUUUCCUCCUUCACUCAGCCAUGAACAGAUGAAAAUUCUAGUGUGGUAUAGCAGGCACUGCACUAAAACAAUCCAUGAAUUUUAUCUCAUCUCAUCCUCACAAUGACCCUAUGAUGUAGGCAGUAUUACUGUUCCCAUUUUUCAGGUGAAGACACAGAGGCUCAGAAAGCUUAAGUUAUGUUCCCAAGGUUACACAGCUAGUAGGUGACACAACUGGAAUUUGUACCCAGGUAGUUUAACUACAGUCUCCACGCUCUUAGUGUUUACAUGAUCCCCUAUGGAACAUCUGACAUAAUGCUGCCAGAGGACUUUUCCUAAGAUAUAUCAUUAUUGUGUUUUUUCCUACUGCUUCCACAGCUAUGCCUCUAGGGUUGUGUAUUAGACACAGUAUGGUAGCUACUAGACACAUGUAGCUAUUUAACUAUAACUUUAAAUUAAUAACAAAUAAAAUUUAAAAUGCAGUUUCUCAAUCCCACUAGCCACAUCACAAGUACUCAAAGGCUAUAUACACAUAGUGGCUACAAGCUUGGACAGUGCAAGAAUAUUUCCAUCACUGCAUUUUGUUUCUGCAACGAAAAUUCUAUUGUACAGCACUGCUCUAGAGAUUAAAGCUUGAACUCCUCUGCCUGGUAUUUCAAGUGUUCUACAGUCUGGUUUCUACCAACUUUUCAGCAGAAAGGCAGAAAACAAGGAAAUGAGGCUGAGUAAAUGAGCAGAAGUCUGAGGAUGAAGUGUCUACUAUGCCACACUGAGGAAGUAAAGUCUCAUCAUGUAGGACAGAAUGUAUUUCCUCCUGGAGAAUAGAUAGAUCUGACUCAAAAUCACCUCUCUGAGGAAGCCUGAAUAAAUAACCAGAGAGGUCUGAAGAUCAUGUCACCCUGUUGAUUGGGUGUUCCCCAGCAGUGACAGGAAGGGUUCCAAGACUUAUACAAAAGACAAAGAUCACACAUUCAAAAUGGAAUCAAAGGACUAUGCUCAAAUCACACCUCUGCUAAUUAUUAGCUAUAUGAUGCUGGCACUGCCAGAUAGCAUCAUUGAGCUUGUUUGAUCUGUGAAAUAGAGCCAAUAAUAUCUAUUCUCUAGAUUUUCAUGACAAGCAAGUAAGAUAAUGAGGAAAGUGAGAUAAUAGUCUGGGGUGAGACCUAGACUUUAAAUUCCCUCAUGUGAUUCUAGGGAGUGCUAGGGUUGAAAAUCAUUGAACUAGAUGAUCUCUGAGGUCUCUUCUAGCUUUAAAAUUCAAGUUUUGACCCACAGUAAGAAAGUCAACAGUCACUUUGGACAAAAUACUCACCUAGGUCCAUCCCCAGCACGCUGCAGGCUUCACAUGCAGUCAAUGCUCAGCCAUUAUGGAUAGCCCAGAUUUCCAGGUAAAGCAGCAUCUUUGAUGAGAAUGCAGGAGUGGUUCCAUGUGUAAUGGUGAACACUCUGGACUCUGAUGAGAGUACAGGGUCAGUGUUGGCUUCUUGGAAGAGUCCCUCCCCAGCAGUGACAGAUGCACCCAAAACACCCAGCCCAUAACUACUAAAACCACCAAUGGUUUUAUUGUCCUCAAAAUGAGUCAUUUAAAAGAGCCAAUGGGCCCAGCCAUCUGGCCCUGCCGAGCCGCAACCCACCGACCCAUGAAUUGGCCUGGCUUUCGCGUGCACCAUGUCUGGUUCCUCCAGCAUUGCCACUAUGAAGAAAGUGGUUCAACAGCUCCGGAUGGAGGUGGGGCUCAACUGUGUUAAAGUUUCCCAGGCAGCUGCAGACUUGAAACAAUUCUGUCUGCAGAAUGUUCAACAUGAUCCUCAGCUGACUGGAGUAUCUUCAAGUACAAAUCCCUUCAGAUUCCAGAAAGUCUGUUCCUUUUUGUAAGAAAAUGAAUCUUUCAAAGGUUUCCCAAACCAUUUCUUAUGAACUGGUGAAUAUUCAAGAAACAACUAAAUUUGAAGCCUGUACAAAAGCUUAGCCUUAUAACAAUACAUGUGCCAUAAUAUGCAAA